rnacentral:lncRNA from 1 species
GUCGCCUCCAUGUGGGUUGUUGUGGUUGUAAGCAGAUUACUCUUUCUUGACGACCCCAUCUCCUCGAAUACAACGACAAUGAUGAUUGAUGCCUCUGUCAGAUCAAUCUCUAUUUUUGUAGGAAUGUGCUUGGUAUUUCUGCAACAUUUUUUUAUUGUGGGUGUUUCUGCAACAUUAUGAAAAAUACUAUCAGUUUGUAUAAUUUUUGUCAGUGCUUGACAGGUGCUUGUGGAAAUGCCUUAACGUUCUCACGAUUUUGAUACAGGGGAUGAUGAAGCACAUCAAGGAAUAAGAGGCAUAUGAGGUUCUGAUGUAGCCGGGUUCGCCGUUACUGCCGAAUGGGUACGUCGGAUAAGUUCUCCUUCACAUACGAUCUAUCGUCUCAACAAUUUUAUUGCAAUUUAAAUCAGACUCUUGCAACAGAAAAUAGGAUCCCUUAUUUUGGUUGUUUAAUCAAGUCAACUAAUUGAAUGGUUCGAAACAGCAUAACUUUAAGUUAUUAACAUGUCAGCAUGCUAGGGUAUUUUCCAUGCAAGAAAGAAGCAAGAAAGGGGAUAUGCCUUAGUGUGGUCUUUGAUACUUGCAGGUUGCAACCUGCCAAAACACUGAUGAUAUAUCCAGAGGCAGAAUUUUGGAUUCAUUUCAUUUUCUCAUUUAUGACUUCCUGGUCAAAUGGUUUUCUUCUUAUUGGAUUUGAAUCUAAUAGAGUUAUAUCACAUAUCUAAAACUCUUGCUAAAGCAUGUCUAUUUGAUUUCUUCCCACUAAUUUGUUUGGUUCCCAAUUUAUGCAGACAUGUGCAGAUGUUUUUGCGGUAAACCAUGCAUGCCUGUGGUUCGUAUGUUACGAACUAAUAAAUGCAUCAAUUCAUGCUAUAUUAAGUGGGCUCUUUUUGAAUAUAGUGCAACUGUAGUGAGAUGCAUAACUAAGGAAUCAUGACUUAAAAUGGACAUAAAAUAGUGUUUUUUGUAUUUUGUUUGCUUGAACUGCUUUCAUGCCGUUGAUGGAAGUUUGGAUAUUUAGAUAUAUGUUAUCUAGGUAGUCCAAACAAGUUGAGUCUGAAUACUUAUAUAAGCCUUUUUUAACUUAACUUGUACAAGCAUCAGGUCCAUAGGAUAUUUUGAGUCUCUUCUCAAACAAAUAUUACCUGACAAUAAUUUAAUAUUGUUGCUGUACCAAUCUUAGUAUGAGGUGAUAUAUGUGGGUUGUCUUAGGUUUAUAUAUUGCAUCAAUUGUCCGCCCUAAUUUUGUUGUUAUUAUUUCGUACUUCUACUUUGCUACAAGCUACUCAAUAAAAUUCUUAUAUUCCCUAUUGGAACCAGAAAAGGUAAGAGAUGAUGUGCCUUAUGGGCACCUUGGAGUAAUUAGUAAGAUACUCUCUCCUUCCCAAAAUGUAAGGCGCGAUUGACUUUUUAUGGUCUUUGAUGCAUGACUUUGACCACUAAUAUAUAUCAAAGUAUAAAGAUUGAACAUGUAUAAAUGGCAUUGUCGUAUUUGUCUUGCAAAACAAUAUUAUUUCAUAUGUAUGUAUACUAAUUUUAUAGACAUAUAAUACAUAAAAAUCAUAGUCAAAGUUGUGCAACGAAGACCGAAAAAGUCAAACCGCGCCUUAUAUUUUGGGAAGGAGGGAGUACCAUUUAUUGGGCACUUGACAUCUCUGUUCAUAUUCAUGUUUGUUGCUGACAUAUUGUACUGGUGAUGGUUAAUGUUUCAUGUUCCACACUGUUUCUUCUUUUUAAAAAUCCAGCGCAACCUUUUAUAUCAUACACCGCCUUUCAAAUUUCACUAUUUUUUACAGAAGCUACUUCCUAUCUCACAAUGAGGUUCGAUCUAAUUUAAUUGCCCUGAUUCAUUUAUGUAUUUUGUUGAGGUUUCAUCUCUUUGAGCGGAGCCCAUAUCUGACAUUUUUUGACUGCUAAUAUAUCUGACAGCAGUUUAUAACUUCAUUCUGAAUCAGUAACUCAAAAGUUAAAAUGCAAACCAAUAUAUUAUAAUACUGUCUUUGUUGUGUUGCCGAAGUAACCAUGUCCAACAUAGAACCUCACCUAAUUAAUUCCUACCUCAGAGCAUUGGCUGAUUUCAUUCCUUGUUUUUAUGCCGCUUCAGACAUAUCCAUUUGAGCUUCCAUGUUUGCAGGCUUGAUUGUUUCCUUCCCUUCGUUUCAUUUAGUCAAUGCAUGGUUAAGAAAAACCUGAUUUUUGAUUUUCCAUACCGUUGAUGCAUGAUUUAGAAAGAUACUGAAACUCAGCCAAAAAAGAGUGAUGGUUCCCCUCUCAUGUUUCUAAGAGGUAAAGCAAGCUACAUGGAUUAGUUUGUUGGUAAUAUCAGCCUAAUUUAGCGAUGACGUGAUUCUUAGCUUGAAAAUAUUACUUUCAUAAUGCACUUGUGGUUCAAACUGCAUAAUGAAAAUAAGACAUUUUUCAUUCAGAAGUGCUCUAUGGACUUGAUGCAUUUUCUUAGAUAUGGAAUAAAUUUUGGGUUGAUUCCAUAGUUAGAGGGUGAUUUUUCAGAGAUCAUAUUUUAUUUCGUAACGUAAAAUAAAUUUGAGUGCAUGAGGAAUCCCAUUUUUAACCAUGUAAUAGUUAGAAAUACAUCUAUUUGGAAUAGAUAAAUAUGUGGAUGGAUUGUGAACCACUAGAAAUUAUGGUAGAAGCACAAUUCAUUCACUCUAAGAAAGUGAAUUGUUCUCAUGCUCUUGUUGGAUUUGAUUGGAAGUGUGGAUGGGUUGGUGAUGUAGAAACUUGUCUUGCUACAAUAUCAUGAAACUUACUAAUACCUAUGUCCUACAAUAUAAGAUGUUAUUACAACCGAUAUACUCGCAUAUUGAAUGUAAUAACAUUCAAACGGAGGGAGUACUUACGAUGUUCUUCUUACAAUCUUAUAUGUUUGUUAAUGUUUUUUUUGUAGAUUUACGUCUCCCAUUUUUCUAGGAUGUGCCAUGCUUCCACAUGUUGAGAUCUUUUCAUUUUUCGUCCACUUAUAUUAUUUUCUCCUAGCUUAAGGAUCUAGGCUAUCCAUGAGUUAUUGGACAUGAUACAGUCUCACUAUGAGAAGCUUCUUGAUCCACGAUGCUUGUUAGUGUGAGAUUGAUUGUUUGCUCCAUUUAUUAAUUCCUUGUGAUUUAUGUUCUCACUAAAGUUGCACAGGCUCGCUAAAUGUCGUAUUUCCUAAUGAUACUGUAAAAAGAUAUAUCGAUUCUUUUCCUUUGUGUUUAUCAUUAAGUGGCUUGUAAUGUGUUUAUAUUUAUAUUAGUCAAGACACCCAUUGCAUGCCUAAUUUUAUUAUCUUGGUAAUUAAUUGAUGACAGUCUAUACGUGCACUUGCACGUGCAAGCUUACUAGUGGGUUUAUAAAUGGAAAAAGAUUAUGCCCAUGAGGUAAGCUGGAUACGGGUAUCAUGUGUCAUCCCUAAAGAAAAAAAACUAGCCGGUUUGCCCUAGGCUAACGCAGCUGCUAGUGCGUUGAUCUUGUCUUGUGAACUUAUGAUUUUUGUCUCUGAUUUUGUUGAUCUUAUUAUAUAGUCUCUUUCAUUUGAUCAUUUCAAAGUAGGAGUUGCAUAAGUGUCUUCAAUAAAAAUAGAGAAAAUUGUGUCCCUUUUAUUUGUCUUG